GCACUAGACAUAUUCAAACUCUCGUCAGGCCACAAAAUGGAAGAUUUUCAGAUUAUACAUUCAUUUAGCAUCACUCCGAAUAGGCAUUAAGGGUACAUCAUGCUCUGUUCGUUUGUGUGAGAGAACUGCAAAGAGCGACACGAUCCAUCUACGACUACAUGAUACUUCAGCUGACUGACAUCUACAUGUAUCUGAGGAGCACAAUGACACAUUCAAUCUGAUGUUCAGGUGUAUAUCAGGAUUGUGAACAGACGUUUCAGUGAUAUGAUACAGAAGAUGAUGAAGCGCAGGACUGU
ensembl:processed_transcript